UGAACGCUGGCGGCGUGCCUAAUACAUGCAAGUCGAGCGAACAGACGAGGAGCUUGCUCCUCUGACGUUAGCGGCGGACGGGUGAGUAACACGUGGAUAACCUACCUAUAAGACUGGGAUAACUUCGGGAAACCGGAGCUAAUACCGGAUAAUAUAUUGAACCGCAUGGUUCAAUAGUGAAAGACGGUUUUGCUGUCACUUAUAGAUGGAUCCGCGCCGCAUUAGCUAGUUGGUAAGGUAACGGCUUACCAAGGCGACGAUGCGUAGCCGACCUGAGAGGGUGAUCGGCCACACUGGAACUGAGACACGGUCCAGACUCCUACGGGAGGCAGCAGUAGGGAAUCUUCCGCAAUGGGCGAAAGCCUGACGGAGCAACGCCGCGUGAGUGAUGAAGGUCUUCGGAUCGUAAAACUCUGUUAUUAGGGAAGAACAAAUGUGUAAGUAACUAUGCACGUCUUGACGGUACCUAAUCGGAAAGCCACGGCUAACUACGUG
rnacentral:rRNA from 1 species